UCCAAGCCUUAGAAGUCCUCAGUACCUAUCCGCUCCUUUCUCGAUCUAAAUCUGGAAUCGGGUUUGGCUCAAAAUCUCAAAUUGGGUUUGGCCAGAAUUUCUACAAGGAGUUAUGUAUGGAGAGUAUUGGAGAUUCAGAAGGAAAAAAUUUUGGCGAUACUUGGAGUAGAAAAAAGUUUUAUCACCGAGGUUUUUGCUGCUGAGAUUCACAAAGCUUAUUUUCUACAAAGUCAAGGUUUAUGAUAACUCAAUGGACGAUCACCAACAAUCACUAUCACAUGUUUCAGUUGUUCACACAAAGAAGGUUAACAUAAUCAAGAAGACCGGAGUUAGUGAAGUUGGCACAAAGAAAAAGAAGCGGCAUUUUUGAAGGAAGUGAUACAUGUCAAUUACUGGCAAUGAAAAGCUUAACCUGUGGAGAGCUGGUUUUAUAAGAUUUAGUCUAGAAGUUAAGGAAAUUAAUUCGAAUUAGGAGUGAUCUUAAUGUACUUACACGUUGAAGUUACUAUCUUUUAUGAUUUAGUUAUAUUUGAGUUUUACAUGAGAACAAAUUAUUUGAUUUGACAUUAUCUAUCUUGUACUAAGUACAUUUUAUAUUGCUACUUUAUUCUUUGGUUACAGUAUUAAAAAAA